AUUGAACGCUGGCGGCAUGCCUUACACAUGCAAGUCGAACGGUAACGGGCCUUCGGGUGCCGACGAGUGGCGAACGGGUGAGUAAUGCAUCGGAACGUACCUUUCAGUGGGGGAUAACGUAGCGAAAGUUACGCUAAUACCGCAUAUUCUGUGAGCAGGAAAGCAGGGGAUCGCAAGACCUUGCGCUGAUUGAGCGGCCGAUGUCAGAUUAGCUAGUUGGUGAGGUAAAGGCUCACCAAGGCGACGAUCUGUAGCGGGUCUGAGAGGAUGAUCUGCCACACUGGAACUGAGACACGGUCCAGACUCCUACGGGAGGCAGCAGUGGGGAAUUUUGGACAAUGGGGGCAACCCUGAUCCAGCCAUGCCGCGUGAGUGAAGAAGGCCUUCGGGUUGUAAAGCUCUUUCGGCCGGGAAGAAAUCGCAUGGGCUAAUACCCUGUGCGGAUGACGGUACCGGCAUAAGAAGCACCGGCUAACUACGUG
rnacentral:rRNA from 1 species